GACGAAGGGGGCUAGCGUUGUUCGGAAUUACUGGGCGUGAAGCGCGUGUAGGCGGUUGCCCAAGUCGGGUGUGAAAGCCUUGAGCUCAACUCAAGAAAUGCACUCGGUACUGGGUGACUAGAGGACCGGAGAGGAUAGUGGAAUUCCCAGUGUAGUGGUGAAAUACGUAGAGAUUGGGAAGAACACCAGUGGCGAAGGCGGCUAUCUGGACGGUUUCUGACGCUAAGACGCGAAAGCGUGGGGAGCAAACAGG
rnacentral:rRNA from 1 species